rnacentral:rRNA from 1 species
CCUUGAAAUACCACCCUUUAAUGUUUGAUGUUCUAACGUUGGCCCCUGAUCGGGGUUGCGGACAGUGUCUGGUGGGUAGUUUGACUGGGGCGGUCUCCUCCUAAAGAGUAACGGAGGAGCACGAAGGUUGGCUAAUCCUGGUCGGACAUCAGGAGGUUAGUGCAAUGGCAUAAGCCAGCUUGACUGCGAGCGUGACGGCGCGAGCAGGUGCGAAAGCAGGUCAUAGUGAUCCGGUGGUUCUGAAUGGAAGGGCCAUCGCUCAACGGAUAAAAGGUACUCCGGGGAUAACAGGCUGAUACCGCCCAAGAGUUCAUAUCGACGGCGGUGUUUGGCACCUCGAUGUCGGCUCAUCACAUCCUGGGGCUGAAGUAGGUCCCAAGGGUAUGGCUGUUCGCCAUUUAAAGUGGUACGCGAGCUGGGUUUAGAACGUCGUGAGACAGUUCGGUCCCUAUCUGCCGUGGGCGCUGGAGAACUGAGGGGGGCUGCUCCUAGUACGAGAGGACCGGAGUGGACGCAUCACUGGUGUUCGGGUUGUCAUGCCAAUGGCACUGCCCGGUAGCUAAAUGCGGAAGAGAUAAGUGCUGAAAGCAUCUAAGCACGAAACUUGCCC